GGUGAGAUGGCCGAGCGGUCUAAGGCGCCAGACUAAGGUAUAACGACCAGGACAUUUGAUGUCCUCGCAGCUUCUGCGUAAUCUGGUCUUUCGGGGCGUGGGUUCGAAUCCCACUCUCAUCA